rnacentral:lncRNA from 1 species
CAGUUAGGCACGAGUCAACAGCAAUGAUAGACUUGAAAGUAAUUUUUGCUGGGCAAGAGACUGAGGAAACAUUUUGUAUUUUGCUGGUCUGAUAGUGCUGUGCCAUAAAGCAAUUUACCAAGCAUAGCUUUACAAAUAGAUUGCAGAAUUAUUCAAGGUGUUCUGCAUUUUCCAUAAUUGGACCAACGAACUAUUCACGAGGCAGUAGUGAACGAGUGUUCUAUAUGGUGGUUUGCUUUAAAUACUGAACGAAAAAUGUGGUCCAUUGUGUUUUUUUUGUGUCGUUAUAGCUCUAAUCUUUUCUUAUGGCCCCUGUGUAGGUUAGUUAUAUGUUGAGCACAAUGAUGCUAUUUUAGUAGUCAUAAUUCCUGCAGCCAAGCACCCG